rnacentral:rRNA from 1 species
GGGCAAACUGGGCAUGUGAUACCUUUUCGGAAAGCCCAAAGACAGCCCUCCGACGAAAGAAGCAGGACAAUGGAACUUCCCAUUGACUUUUUGUCGACCCCAAAUUUUGACCUUUAAGUACUUUUUCGGGCAUUUUCGUGAUUUGGGCUAUAUUACGGACCCAAAAUUACUUGUUCAAGCAUUGUUUUCGAAUUUUUUCAUGCAUCAAAGCUCGUUAAGACUAGAUGGGGUAUCCCUACAUAGCGGGUGGGACCCACGGCGAAUGGUUCAUCAAGUCUUCAAAAAAGAAUAUAUACGAUUGCAUUGCAUAUACUAACGGAUGCGAUCAUACCAGCACUAAUGCACCGGAUCCCAUCAGAACUCCGCAGUUAAGCGUGCUUGGGCGAGAGUAGUACUAGGAUGGGUGACCUCCCGGGAAGUCCUCGUGUUGCAUCCCUCUUUUAUGUUUAACCUUUUUUUUUUUGGUUAAAACUUUAUGACUCAAUAACUUCUACACCG